rnacentral:rRNA from 1 species
UACAGAGGUGGCAAGCGUUGUUCGGAAUUACUGGGCGUAAAGGGCGCGUAGGCGGUUCGUUAAGUCCUGUGUGAAAUCCCCCGGCUCAACUGGGGAACUGCACAGGAAACUAGCGGGCUUGAGUUCGGGAGAGGGAAGCGGAAUUCCGGGUGUAGCGGUGAAAUGCGUAGAUAUCCGGAGGAACACCGGUGGCGAAGGCGGCUUCCU